AGUCCACCUGUUUUGCUUCCUUAACCUCUGCAAUGGAACUGCUUCUCUUCUUAUCCUACCUUAUGGCUGCAGCUGCUUUGGAGGUGAAGACUAGCCCUUCUCCUGUAGUAGGCCUGGUACACAACCCAGUUGUGCUGCAUUGUAACUUUACAGUUCAGGAGAGCGUCAGAAAAGAAGACGUGGCUCUGAAAUGGGCGGUGAAGACUGUAUCUGGAGAAGAGAGGGCAGUGUUUUUGUUUGAUGGGAACCACACAGCAGGUUACCGGCACGGGCCCUUAGUGAAUGUUGAUUUACUACCCCAUGGCAUUGCAUCACUCACCUUGUCCGAUGUGACAUUAAGGGAUGAAGCUCAGCCUGCUGUGCUGCUGUCACCCCAAAGUCUCCUAGCUGCUGCAGAAGGAGAGAAGACAUUUUCUUGCAAUGUUCAUGACUUCUACCCACAAGCAAUUAACAUCUCUUGGCUGGUCAGGAAACAAGGCAGCGUACGCGAAACACCGCUGUCCUCAGAUAUAUGCACAGGGGCCCCAUCUUCCCGAGGUCGUGAUGGUUUGUUUGCUGUGCUGAGUCGUGUCACCCAAAUGGUGUCCGAGGCUGAUAAUGGUUCCUUAUAUAUCUGUGAAGUCCAACACGAGUCCCUGGGAAAGCCGCUACGUAGAAAUACAACUUUGUUGGUCACAAUACCAAAAUCCUAUCAUCGGGACACGGCAUUUAUUGUCGGGGUGGCUGCCUCUUGCAUCAUACUGACAGGCUUAUGCAGCAUAUUUUUAACCAUCUUUUAUCAAGCGCGGCUUGCAAAAGCAGAGCCCCAGGUCUCCUCAAUCAUCCAGCCUGACCUGAUCCCGAUCAAUGAAAAGAUAAGGCUGAUGUGCAAUAUAAAUGGAUUUAGACCCAAAACAAUCCAGGUGAAAUGGUACCGGAGAAACCCACACAGGACGGUGUCGGCAGCAGACCAUGCAAAGGAAGAUGCAGCCCUUUGUGAGGCUGGAGAAGAUGUUACCGGAAUGGCCAAGCAGCCGUUGGAAGCCAAUGGCAGAUUUUACAGCAUCUCCUCCUGCCUGAGCUACACGCCUACGAUAAAGGACGACAGGGCGGAAUUUGAAUGCAACAUCCAGCACAGCACACUCAAAAAUCCAAUACGGAGGACCACAAUUAUUCAUGUUACUGCUCGACCAGCAAGCCAUUACAUCUUCAGCUCGCCCCAGGUUCCCAUACAGGGGGAUAAGCUUAUUCUGAUCUGUGUUGUGGAGAAAUUUUACCCAAAGGACAUCACUCUGGAUUGGUUUCGAAAUGGACAGCCAAUUGAAGAAGUGACACAGUUUGGGCCUUUCCCUUGUGAAAGUGAUUUUUACAGUAUAUGGAGCCAGACUGAGUUUAUCCUGACCAGAGAUGACGAAGGAGCAAUUUAUACUUGUCGGAUCAAGCACAGCAGCUUUGGAAAUAUCGAAGAACUCUCCUAUGAAAUAAAUUUGCAAGGAACCCCCCCAGAAGUCCUCUGGAUCACUCCAGACCCUCCGGUACCUGUUGCAGGAGAGGAGCUGAGGCUAAGCUGCCGAAUCAAUAACUUCUCCCCUAGCGUGAUCAGCGUGAAUUGGUUCCAAGAUGGGAAGCCACUGCAUGUGGGAAUCUGCCACUCGGUCACUGUAGUUGGCGCCAAUGGCUUGCACUCCAUGUGGAGUCUUCUGAGAGUGACACCUGCACAGGGGGCGGGGAAUACCGUGUUUACGUGCAAGGUGGAACACGACGCACUGAGCGGAUGUGUGGAAAGAACGUACACUUUGCAGAUGCCUGGUUGAACCGCUUUCAGGAAAAAGAAGGGGAAACUGCAUCGAAGGAAACCAAAGGGAGAUUAGCAAAGAAACUACGAGUGGACUGGAUUUCAAGGCAUGAACAGAAGGAUAAAAGCAGAAAAAGGAAAUAAUAUGCUGUCUGCAACCACUAGAUGUCGCUUUUCACCAUCUCCAACUGUUGGAAGUUCCGUAUUCCCCUUUAUAUUUUGGCCAGAUAAUUCCAGAUAUUUGUGGUUUAGUUUAUUACAUGUGAAAUCUCACAUUCUGGUGACUCUCCUUCUCCAAGAAUUCAGGAGUAACUAAGCUUUCUAGUUUAG